GCUGAUCAAUGAUGAGUCAGUUUACUAGAGACUGUUGGAUGAAACUAGCGGAUAUGGGACUGAGAUCGCU
ensembl:snoRNA small nucleolar RNA SNORD99